UGAGGAGUAGCAAUCCUUAAUGCAUAUGAUUGGUUUUAUGUACAUGUAAAUAGCCAUAGAUAAUAGAGUACAUGUGGGACAUGUACCUGCAGCACCUGUAAUACAGCCUGUUGUUUAGAUAGGAACAAUUUUGAAAUUAUUUAUUAUCUUGACCAGGAGGUGCACUCAAUAAAAAGUUUUUGUAGGGUGUAUUUGGGGCAAGUACGAUAAUAGCUUGUGAUGUGACCUUUUUGCCAUUAGAAUAUAAAAAAUAGUUUUUGCAACAGUCAGCUAUAGUAAUUCAUCCAGAUCAUGUUGUGGUUUAGGUCAUCAAAAGGUCUCAAGUCAAUAACUAAUGCUCUGUGCUGUAUUGAACAUUUCCAAUGGCACAGAAUGAACUGUAGCUCUACUGCUGAGGAAUAUCUCAUCUCUCAAUCACAACUGACAAACCCUACUGGACUAUUAUCAGAAUUCUUCUUUUAAAAAAAUAAUGUGAAUAUUGUAAUUAUAA